UACGGGGGGGGCGAACGUUGUUCGGAAUCACUGGGCGUAAAGGGCGCGGAGGCGGCCUUGUAAGUGGGGUGUGAAAUCCCUCGGCUCAACCGAGGAACUGCGCUUGAAACUACCAGACUCGAGGGAGAUAGAGGAAAGCGGAACUGAUGGUGGAGCGGUGAAAUGCGUAGAGAUCGGGAGGAACACCAGUGGCGAAGGCGGCCUUCUGGACCAAUACUGACGCUCAUGCACGAAAGCGUGGGGAGCAAACAGG
rnacentral:rRNA from 1 species